GCGAUUGUACGUUGCGAGCUUAAGGUCUUAAGGACUGGAGGCGUAGCGAGAGCGAGUCUAAACAGGGCGUUUAGUAGCGUGCAAUGGGCCCGAAACCGGGUGACCUACCCAUGAUCAGGCUGAAGUGAAAGUAAAAUUUCAUGGAGGGCCGAACCGACCUCCGUUGAAAAGGCGGCGGAUGAAUUGUGGGUAGCGGAGAAAUUCCAAUCGAACUCGGAGAUAGCUGGUUCUCCCCGAAAUAGCUUUAGGGCUAGCCUCAUGUUAGAUAUCCGGAGGUAAAGCACUGAAUGGCCUAGCGUCCGAGAGGAUAGCGAAGCCUAUCAAACUAAGAAUGCCGGAAUAUUGAUGCAUGGGAGUCAGACAGUGUGAGAUAAAUCUCAUUGUCAAAAGGGAAACAGCCCAGAUCUACAGCUAAGGUCCCAAAUUGUAUCUAAGUGGAAAACGAUGUGGAAAUACGCAGACAACCAGGAUGUUGGCUCAGAAGCAGCCACUCAUUUAAAGAGUGCGUAAUAGCUCACUGGUCGAGCGUCUCUGCGCGGAAAAUUUAACGGGGCUAAGAUACAAACCGAAGCUUAGGCUGCACUUUUAGUGCGGGGUAGGGGAGCGUUGUGUAAGCGGAGAAACAGUAGCGUAAGCGGCUGUGGAGUUUACAGAAGUGAGAAUGCCGGAAUGAGUAGCGCGAAUGAUGUGAGAAUCAUCAUGGCCGGAAACCUCAGGUUUUUGGAGGAAGGUUCGUCCGCUCCAAGUUAGGCGGGAGCUAAGGUCAGGCCGAAAGGCGUAGCCGAUGCACAGACGGUAGAGAUUCCGUCCCCACCGAAAGAUUUAAGCGCAGGGACACUUUUAGAAGGUCGGAGCCAGGUGUUGGUUCUGGUAGAGAUCGAGGGAAAUUUAGUACCGAAGUCCGGCUGGAUAAGAGGCGAGAAAAGCUGCGUGUAUAUCUAAGGUGCCCGUACCGCAAACCGACACAGGUAGGUAGGAAGAAGAUUCUAAGGCCAACGGGAGAAGGGUUGUUAAGGAACUCGGCAAGUUGACCCCGUAACUUCGGAAUAAGGGGUGCUCAUGAAAGUGAGCCGCAGAGAAUAGGCCCAGGCAACUGUUUACCAAAAACACAGGUUUGUGCUAAAUCGAAAGAUGACGUAUACGAGCUGACGCCUGCCCGGUGCUGGAAGGUUAAAAGGAGAUGUGCAAGCAUUGAAUUGAAGCCCCAGUGAACGGCGGCCGUAACUAUAACGGUCCUAAGGUAGCGAAAUUCCUUGUCAGGUAAGUUCUGACCCGCAUGAAAGGCGUAAUGAUCUGGGCACUGUCUCAACAGCCCGCCCGGCGAAAUUGUAGUACCGGUGAAGAUGCCGGUUACCCGCGACAAGACGGAAAGACCCCAUGGAGCUUUACUGUAGCCUAAUAUUGGGUUUCGGUGUUGCAUGCACAGGAUAGAUGGGACGCUAGGAAGUGAGUGCUUUGGCAUUCAUGGAGCGGCCGUUGGGAUACCAUCCUUGCGACAUUGGAAUUCUAACCUGCGCCUUUGAAUCAAGGCGGGGGACAUUGUUAGGUGGGCAGUUUGACUGGGGCGGUCGCCUCCUAAAAAGUAGCGGAGGCGUUCAAAGGUUCGUUCGAUCUGGACGGAAACCAGAUGAUUGAGUGCAAACGCAUAAACGAGCCUGACUGCGAGACUGACGGGUCGAGCAGAGACGAAAGUCGGAGUUAGUGAUCCGGUGGUAUGUGAGUGGAAAUGCCAUCGCUCAACGGAUAAAAGUUACCCUGGGGAUAACAGGCUGAUCUCCCCCAAGAGUCCACAUCGACGGGGAGGUUUGGCACCUCGAUGUCGGCUCAUCGCAUCCUGGGGCUGAAGUAGGUCCCAAG
rnacentral:rRNA from 1 species